AGGAAUCAAGCAGUUCUUCCUCUGACAGUUCCAGUGAUGAUGAGAAAAAGACAAAAAGAAGAAAAAGGAAAAGCAGGAUUCAGGAGGCGAGUCUGCAUCGGACGCAGAGAAAGAGGAGAAGGAGCUUGAGCUCAAACAGGAGGAUGGAAAGCUCCCAGAAGACGCAUCUUCAUCUGGUGGACGCUUUAGUCUGUUCAUUUAUUUGUGCAGAUUUGAGUCUAGUUUAACCCUGUUUAGGUUCUUUAAUCCCAAUUCUGGGUGGAGAAAGCAAAGUUUAUAUAACUUUUACCAGG